UCCGUGUUAACCACGGCAGUCUCUUUAGAGUGCCCAACUGAAUGCUGGCAACUAAAGACAAGGGUUGCGCUCGUUGCGGGACUUAACCCAACAUGUCACCACACGAGCUGACGACAGCCAUGCAGCACCUGUCUCUCUGUCGUAUUGCUACGAAGACUGUAUCUCUACAGCUGUCAGAGGAUGUCAAAUCCAGGUAAGGUUCUUCGCGUUGCUUCGAAUUAAACCACAUGAUCCACCGCUUGUGCGGGCCCCCGUCAAUUCCUUUGAGUUUUAGUCUUGCGACCGUACUUCCCAGGCGGAGUACUUAUUGCGUUAGCUCCGGUUCGGCGGGGGUCAAGACCCACCAAACCUAGUACUCAUCGUUUACAGCGUGGACUAC
rnacentral:misc_RNA from 1 species